CCUGGAAGCUGAAGGACAUGAGGUGUCAGUGCCACCACUGCAAGGCUCUAAGUGUCCAGGCAGCCACCACAGUGCAGACCAAGAAGCCUAAGGCAACAGUGGGCGCCCAGUCUCGAGUCCUUUCUCUACAUUUUGUGUAGACUGCAUGUCUUAGGUAAGUGACUGCUGCAGCAAAGGACUCUGCACAGCUAGAGGAAACAGAGUCCUGGAAGGAGAAGGGUGAGGGUGCCAGCUGGUCACUCCUCCUUUGCUCCCGGCUAAUGUAACUGCUGCGUGUUUGAUUUUCUCCAAAUCACAGGGGGCUUAAAUGGCAGGUGUUGUGCAGAUAAAACCCAAGUAGAGAUUAUGCAGCAGACUUGACCACACAGAGGCUGCACAAACACUCAAGGU